UGUACGGUUUUGACAGGUAAAGCGAAUGAUUAGAGGCAUCAGGGAUGGAAUAUCCUUGACCUAUUCUCAAACUUUAAAUGGGUAAGAACCCUGGGUUGCUUAAUUGAACCCGGUGGUCGAAUGACGGUUGCUAGUGGGCCAAUCUGGGUAAGCUAGAUUGGCGAUGCGGGAUGAUCCGAACGUCGAGUUAAAGUGCCAAAGUAUCCGCUAACCUAGAUCCCACAAAAGGUGUUGGUUCAUUAAGACAGCAGGACGGUGGCCAUGG
rnacentral:rRNA from 1 species